CAGACCUCUAAUCGGAAAAGACUACCCGCUGAGUUUAAGCAUAUCACUAAGCGGAGGAGAAGAAACUAACCAGGAUUUCCCUAGUAA
rnacentral:rRNA from 1 species